rnacentral:misc_RNA from 1 species
AUUGAACCUAAACCGACGGUUCAGAAACCGUAACUAGCGGUUCCUAAAUCAUGGCCACCCCCACGCGUAUCAUAUGAGUUGAUUACUACAUUAUGAUUUCAGGUCCCCUACUUUAUCUUCUAAAGGAAAAUAUACAAGAUACCGAUGGGUAUGUGUACACGUACACACAUGCAUGCAAGGGGCAAUACAGUUUCAAUGCUUGUAAAGAUAACUACAAUGCAAAGAAGUACAAUAUUAAUGACUAUACCUUAAUCCCAAAUUAAUCUGAGUCGACUAUACGAAU